CUCCACUUUUGGGGGGGGGUGGGGCCAGGCGGCCAUGCCAGCAGGCUUCAAGUCACUAGGGCCCCUGAGGGAACAAACUAAUUUCGGGUGACUACCCAACCUACCCUGCUUGUACCACCCUGGGAGUCAAUGACAGAAGGCUCUGGAGUGUCCCGGUGCUGCUGGAGCGCCGGACAUCGGGUGGUUCUGGGUCCUGGUGAGAGACUCUGGGGCUUGGGGACUGAGGCCUACCCGGGAGGAGAGUGGGGCAGAUGGCCGCUGCCUCACUUACUGUCCCGACUAAAGCAAACUUCCACUCGCCUGGUGCCUUCUUGGUUCCGUUUACCCCCCCCUUUGGACCGGUGGAGGUUAUCCCAGUCCCCACCAGGCAGGCUACCACCUGUGCAUCUCACCUGGGCGGCCCGAAGCCAUAGGAGGAGGGCUCCCACGCGGUCUCACCAAAAUGGCCGACGUCGGCGCUGCAACUCCACUGGCCGUGACAGUGAACCCUCUAAGACAUGCCGACACAGUGAUACGGUACUACACAGCCUGAGCUGCCACCACGGGAGGUCCUCGAGGGCUCUCGAUCCCCCGCGCAACAACCCUGGAACACGCUCGAUGACAGGCGGGAACCAUUAUAGCCUGCAUUUCCUUCACCUGCCCAUGUCACAGCAGCAAACUCCUAGAGCGCACUCUGGGCCACCUUCAACCGAGUAUGCUUCACCAACCAUCAGUACUGGGAGAACAAACGGGAGAAUCAUCCCCAUUCACCGACCGCACGGUGCUACAGCCCACGACUGAGUACUAAGGCUUGCGAGGCAAGGCACCUAAACUCACCCAGCAACCGGGACGCUAUGGCGGGACUUUGGGACCCAGUGGAUCUCUUGGGGUAAUCUACAGGGACUCUCCCCACAACUAGGCAUGGACUGCAUUCUCACUACCACUUACUUUGCGCUCAGUUGGAGCUGGCGGUGACCCCAGCCGUUCACACUAAGAAGCACACCGUAUAGUAUGCCACGGAUAGCCUCACCAGAUAUUCCUGUAGCUGCAAUUAUUGAUUAGCAUGCAUAUCCUCUGUUUAUUAUCUUAUCUAUAGUUAAUUUUGUUUAAAUUUCCUACCUAUUGACUGAGAUAGUGGAGUGUGUGAUGCUCUGCCUGGUGGCACCCUGAUUUAAUGAUAAUCUUUGCUAAGCUGGAGAAUUUACAAUUUACUAUGAAUGGCAGUGUGUAAAUCAGAAUUAUUACCUCGUCUGCCAUAACUGGUAACUGACAUGCGGUGUAACCAUUGAUGCAAAUACAUUACCUUAAAAUAUAAAAAGCGCUAUGCUCUGAUAAGCCAAAUGACUACCGUUAAAUGUUGAAUGUCAUGCUAGCAAUAGCUGUUGAAACUUGUUAAUGUAUACAAAAACUGUGCGAUUACUCAUGCCACUGUCGAACUCUUAUAUAUGUUGAUAUACACUUUUGUGGCGUUUGUGGAUAUUUUGUACCUAUCCGCACAAAAAAAAAAAAAAAAAAUAUCUCCACUUUUCAUCCAUG